UGGCAGUCAGAGGCGAUGAAGGGCGUGCUAAUCUGCGAUAAGCGCCGGUAAGGUGAUAUGAACCGUUAUAACCGGCGAUACCCGAAUGGGGAAACCCAGUGUGACUCGUCACACUAUCAUUAACUGAAUCCAUAGGUUAAUGAGGCGAACCGGGGGAACUGAAACAUCUAAGUACCCCGAGGAAAAGAAAUCAACCGAGAUUCCCCCAGUAGCGGCGAGCGAACGGGGAGGAGCCCAGAGCCUGAAUCAGCAUGUGUGUUAGUGGAAGCGUCUGGAAAGGCGCGCGAUACAGGGUGACAGCCCCGUACACAAAAGCGCAUGUGCUGUGAGCUCGAUGAGUAGGGCGGGACACGUGGUAUCCUGUCUGAAUAUGGGGGGACCAUCCUCCAAGGCUAAAUACUCCUGACUGACCGAUAGUGAACCAGUACCGUGAGGGAAAGGCGAAAAGAACCCCGGCGAGGGGAGUGAAAAAGAACCUGAAACCGUGUACGUACAAGCAGUGGGAGCACAGGUUUACCUGUGUGACUGCGUACCUUUUGUAUAAUGGGUCAGCGACUUAUAUUCUGUAGCAAGGUUAACCGAAUAGGGGAGCCGGAGGGAAACCGAGUCUUAAUUGGGCGUUAAGUUGCAGGGUAUAGACCCGAAACCCGGUGAUCUAGCCAUGGGCAGGUUGAAGGUUGGGUAACACUAACUGGAGGACCGAACCGACUAAUGUUGAAAAAUUAGCGGAUGACCUGUGGCUGGGGGUGAAAGGCCAAUCAAACCGGGAGAUAGCUGGUUCUCCCCGAAAGCUAUUUAGGUAGCGCCUCGUGAAUUCAUCUCCGGGGGUAGAGCACUGUUUCGGCUAGGGGGCCAUCCCGGCUUACCAACCCGAUGCAAACUGCGAAUACCGGAGAAUGUUAUCACGGGAGACACACGGCGGGUGCUAACGUCCGUCGUGAAGAGGGAAACAACCCAGACCGCCAGCUAAGGUCCCAAAGUCAUGGUUAAGUGGGAAACGAUGUGGGAAGGCCCAGACAGCCAGGAUGUUGGCUUAGAAGCAGCCAUCAUUUAAAGAAAGCGUAAUAGCUCACUGGUCGAGUCGGCCUGCGCGGAAGAUGUAACGGGGCUAAACCAUGCACCGAAGCUGCGGCAGCGANNUGCUGGAGGUAUCAGAAGUGCGAAUGCUGACAUAAGUAACGAUAAAGCGGGUGAAAAGCCCGCUCGCCGGAAGACCAAGGGUUCCUGUCCAACGUUAAUCGGGGCAGGGUGAGUCGACCCCUAAGGCGAGGCCGAAAGGCGUAGUCGAUGGGAAACGGGUUAAUAUUCCCGUACUUGGUGUUACUGCGAAGGGGGGACGGAGAAGGCUAUGUUGGCCGGGCGACGGUUGUCCCGGUUUAAGCGUGUAGGUGUGUGUUCCAGGUAAAUCCGGUUCACUUUAACACUGAGGCGUGACGACGAGGCACUACGGUGCUGAAGCAACAAAUGCCCUGCUUCCAGGAAAAGCCUCUAAGCAUCAGGUAACAUCAAAUCGUACCCCAAACCGACACAGGUGGUCAGGUAGAGAAUACCAAGGCGCUUGAGAGAACUCGGGUGAAGGAACUAGGCAAAAUGGUGCCGUAACUUCGGGAGAAGGCACGCUGACAUGUAGGUGAAGUGAUUUACUCAUGGAGCUGAAGUCAGUCGAAGAUACCAGCUGGCUGCAACUGUUUAUUAAAAACACAGCACUGUGCAAACACGAAAGUGGACGUAUACGGUGUGACGCCUGCCCGGUGCCGGAAGGUUAAUUGAUGGGGUCAGCGCAAGCGAAGCUCCUGAUCGAAGCCCCGGUAAACGGCGGCCGUAACUAUAACGGUCCUAAGGUAGCGAAAUUCCUUGUCGGGUAAGUUCCGACCUGCACGAAUGGCGUAAUGAUGGCCAGGCUGUCUCCACCCGAGACUCAGUGAAAUUGAACUCGCUGUGAAGAUGCAGUGUACCCGCGGCAAGACGGAAAGACCCCGUGAACCUUUACUAUAGCUUGACACUGAACAUUGAGCCUUGAUGUGUAGGAUAGGUGGGAGGCUUUGAAGUGUGGACGCCAGUCUGCAUGGAGCCGACCUUGAAAUACCACCCUUUAAUGUUUGAUGUUCUAACGUGGACCCGUUAUCCGGGUUGCGGACAGUGUCUGGUGGGUAGUUUGACUGGGGCGGUCUCCUCCUAAAGAGUAACGGAGGAGCACGAAGGUUGGCUAAUCCUGGUCGGACAUCAGGAGGUUAGUGCAAUGGCAUAAGCCAGCUUGACUGCGAGCGUGACGGCGCGAGCAGGUGCGAAAGCAGGUCAUAGUGAUCCGGUGGUUCUGAAUGGAAGGGCCAUCGCUCAACGGAUAAAAGGUACUCCGGGGAUAACAGGCUGAUACCGCCCAAGAGUUCAUAUCGACGGCGGUGUUUGGCACCUCGAUGUCGGCUCAUCACAUCCUGGGGCUGAAGUAGGUCCCAAGGGUAUGGCUGUUCGCCAUUUAAAGUGGUACGCGAGCUGGGUUUAGAACGUCGUGAGACAGUUCGGUCCCUAUCUGCCGUGGGCGCUGGAGAACUGAGGGGGGCUGCUCCUAGUACGAGAGGACCGGAGUGGACGCAUCACUGGUGUUCGGGUUGUCAUGCCAAUGGCACUGCCCGGUAGCUAAAUGCGGAAGAGAUAAGUGCUGAAAGCAUCUAAGCACGAAACUUGCCCCGUGCCGAAUCCCCCCUGAGACUUCAAGCCCCCCGCACGAACGUUGAAGACG
rnacentral:rRNA from 1 species